rnacentral:rRNA from 1 species
UGGGGAAUAUUGCACAAUGGGGGAAACCCUGAUGCAGCGACGCCGCGUGGAGGAAGAAGGUCUUCGGAUUGUAAACUCCUGUCAUUCGGGACGAAAAAUGACGGUACCGGAUGAGGAAGCCACGGCUAACUACGUGCCAGCAGCCGCGGUAAUACGUAGGUGGCGAGCGUUGUCCGGAAUUACUGGGCGUAAAGGGCGCGUAGGCGGUCUGCUAAGUCAGAUGUGAAAACCCCGGGCUCAACCUGGGGAUUGCAUUUGAAACUGGCAGACUAGAGUGUCGGAGAGGAAGGCGGAAUUCCUAGUGUAGCGGUGAAAUGCGUAGAUAUUAGGAGGAACACCAGUGGCGAAGGCGGCUUUCUGGACGAUAACUGACGCUGAGGCGCGAAAGCGUGGGGAGCAAACAGG